rnacentral:rRNA from 1 species
UACGGAGGGUGCAAGCGUUAUCCGGAUUCACUGGGUUUAAAGGGUGCGUAGGUGAGUCGGUAAGUCAGUGGUGAAAUCCCCGAGCUUAACUUGGGAACUGCCAUUGAUACUAUCAGUCUUGAAUACCGUGGAGGUCAGCGGAAUAUGUCAUGUAGCGGUGAAAUGCUUAGAUAUGACAUAGAACACCAAUUGCGAAGGCAGCUGGCUACUCGGAUAUUGACACUGAGGCACGAAAGCGUGGGGAUCAAACAGG